GUGGUCAUUGAGGUAGGCAUUAAUCCAAUGGAACCGGUGUCCUUAUAGAAAGAUUAAGACAUGGGCAUACACACAACUGAAGGACCAUUGAACACACCAGAGGAAGACAAAGCCGCCUACAAUUUCAGAAGAGAAACCUCAAAAUGAAACACAAUCCCGCCGACACCUAGAUCAAGGAUCUGGACUACUAGCCUUCAGGAACGUGAGGAAAAAGUGGGUGCCUUAAAACUGAUAUGCUGUCUUGAGUGAUCUGAAAGAAAAUACUGGCCAACCUAGGAUUCCUAUACACACUAGGAUAUGAAGGUAAAAAGACAUUUUGAGACAAAAAUGGAGAGCACUGACAAGCAGGAGACUUGCAUUUAAUAAGCAAAACAAAAUGAUCCUAUUGGAAUAUUAGAAGAUGCAAAAGCGAUGAAAACGAA